ensembl:lncRNA
GUUUUGGAUUUGAUGACCAGUUUCUUUUGAUUGGAAAUUACUAUGUUAACUCUGACCUGGAAGACAGUGAAUUUAGAAUGCCCUGUUGAUCUGAACGUCUUGAUCACUGCCUUUGGUGGGCUUUUUAUUAAGCUUGAUGUAGACUUGACUCCUGGAAGCUGGAGAUGCUGACCUCCAUUUUGAAAACGGAAAAUAAAAGCCACAGAUCUAUGAAGGUCUAAGGCGAAGUUCAGAAAAGCUGUAUCGACUGUUGAGACCUGGCGACUUGUUUAAAUUUCAUUAGCCUCACUUCUAUGAACUCUCAGGUCUGCUGGAGUUUCCUGGUGGUACAUUCCAGAUGCUGUUUGCCUGGGUAUUACUGGCAGAGGCUGCAGAACAGCAAGACUACUGCCCGUUCCUUCCUCUGGAAGCUUUGUCCCAGAGUGACACCCGUCAGAUGCCAGCCAGAGCUUUCCUGUAUGAAGUGUCGGUCAGCCCCUCCUGGGAGAUGUCUCCAAGUCAAGUCUUCAAGAUUGUUUUGGCUCUAGCAAAACAAGUUGGAACAUUCACAUCAUCCAGUAGACCAUAUGGUCUAAGAAGUAGAGGAAAGCUCAAAUGCAGAGAACUGAACAUAUGUCAAAGAAGAGAGGAGAGAUGGGGCAGAGAAGACAGACUUCAUCUUUGUCUAAGAAAGAAGCUGUAUAAUCAAUAG